rnacentral:rRNA from 1 species
AUUGAACGCUGGCGGAAUGCUUUACACAUGCAAGUCGAACGGCAGCACGGACUUCGGUCUGGUGGCGAGUGGCGAACGGGUGAGUAAUAUAUCGGAACGUGCCCAGUCGUGGGGGAUAACGCAGCGAAAGCUGUGCUAAUACCGCAUACGAUCUCUGGAUGAAAGCGGGGGACUCAGCAAUGGGCCUCGCGCGAUUGGAGCGGCCGAUAUCAGAUUAGCUAGUUGGUGGGGUAAAAGCCCACCAAGGCGACGAUCUGUAGCUGGUCUGAGAGGACGACCAGCCACACUGGAACUGAGACACGGUCCAGACUCCUACGGGAGGCAGCAGUGGGGAAUUUUGGACAAUGGGCGAAAGCCUGAUCCAGCAAUGCCGCGUGCAGGAUGAAGGCCU